GGCGAACGCUGGCGGCGUGCCUAAUACAUGCAAGUAGAACGCUGAAGGAGGAGCUUACUUCUCUGGAUGAGUUGCGAACGGGUGAGUAACGCGUAGGUAACCUGCCUGGUAGCGGGGGAUAACUAUUGGAAACGAUAGCUAAUACCGCAUAAGAGUAGAUGUUGCAUGACAUUUACUUAAAAGGUGCAAUUGCACCACUACCAGAUGGACCUGCGUUGUAUUAGCUAGUUGGUGGGGUAACGGCUUACCAAGGCGACGAUACAUAGCCGACCUGAAAGGGUAAUCGGCCACACUGGGACUGAGACACGGCCCAGACUCCUACGGGAGGCAGCAGUAGGGAAUCUUCGGCAAUGGACGGAAGUCUGACCGAGCAACGCCGCGUGAGUGAAGAAGGUUUUCGGAUCGUAAAGCUCUGUUGUAAGAGAAGAACGAGUGUGAGAGUGGAAAGUUCACACUGUGACGGUAUCUUACCAGAAAGGGACGGCUAACUACGUGCCAGCCGCCGCCGUAA
rnacentral:rRNA from 1 species